GUACUUGCUCAGAACUCUGGUUUUGACCUUCAGGAAACACUAGUUAAAGUUCAAGCGGAACAUUCAGAAUCAGGUCAACUUGUGGGUGUGGACUUAAACACAGGUGAGCCAAUGGUAGCAGCCGAAGUAGGCAUAUGGGAUAACUAUUGUGUAAAGAAACAGCUUCUCCACUCCUGCACUGUGAUUGCCACCAACAUACUCCUGGUUGAUGAGAUCAUGCGAGCUGGAAUGUCUUCUCUAAAAGGUUGAAUUUGAAGCUUCCCUCAUGUCAUCUGAAUCAUGAAGACUCCACGAGUGAUCCUAAGAAUAUAGCGAUGGAAUUUUUGUCCAAGCCUCAAAUAAUUUUCAAAAGCAUUUUCUUUUCCCAUAUGAAAAAAAGAGAACACUGACACCUAAAAUUCUGAAGUUCUGAAAUUAGUGUUUUUUUAAAUUGCACUGCAAUGUACACACAUUAAGCAGGCCGUUUUUACCCAAUGAAAAGGAUGUUUUGCUUUAGCUUCAGUGAUAUAAAAGUACUGUUUGAGAUAAGGAUAUGUUAUCCACCUUGUUAUUAAAUGUUCCUUGAAAAACAAAUUAUAAUGGUUUAAUAAUAAUUUCUUCUAAUGGAUGUAUUUUAAUUUAUCCAAUAGGUUCCUAUACUGUUACACUUGUAAGUUUUUAUAAUAUAAAUACUUUAACUUAAAAUUUUGAAACAUCCCUGUUUUAGUAUAAAUUCCUAUGAGUAAAACUAUUGGAUCAUUGGGACUUCUAAUGUUUGCAAAGUAGCUGUGCUAAAAUGCUCCCCAGAGGGAAAAGUUGUAGUGAACAGAAAGAUGGGUGAAGUAGAGGCAAGGGAGUUGAAUAAGCUCAAAGUAUGAAGUGGGGAAAAUAGAAAUAGAGGAAGCAGAGGUAGAAAGACCUUUCAAGCAUGGGGGCUAAGGGAUAGGAUAUUUUCAGUGGACCAUGUUUUCACACUCCUGCACCUUUGCUUAUGCCGAAGUACCCAUCCCAGACCCUC